AAGGAUAUGUAGAAGGGUGAGCCGGUUAAGGAUCGAUUCAGACAAGGUGGUAAAAUUUGUACGACAAGCGACAGUUUAUUCAGAGUGAGAAUAUCUGGUACAAGUAAAUACGGCCCUUCCGUUAGCCCAUCAGACCAGCAGGAAAAGAGAGCGAGUUAACCGCUACACACACAAUUUAUACAGAACAGUUCAGCUGGGGUGUAGUCUGUAGUCUUCCGCCAUUGGCUCAGUUGUCUGUCCGUCAUCGUAGAAUCCUCUUCGGGCACACAGUGUUCGACUAAAAGGGAGAUUAUGUGUGUAAUGUGGGAGCUAUCCUGUAGGGGACCCCACAGGCUUUACUGUGAGUUGUAGCCAUGUAUUUAGCAGUAGGCUGGUCACUUGCAUAAGAAAUAGCAAUUCUUUACGAUUGCCCCCCCUUUUACACUGCUGAUACUCUUGUUUAUUAUCUAUGCAUAGUCACAAACUCUACUUACAUGUACAUAUUACUUAAAUUACCUCAACUAACCUGUACCCUCACAUAUUAACUGUACCGCUACCCCCUGUAGCCUCUUAUUUUACUGCUGCUCUUAUUUGAACUUUUACGUAACACUAGUCUAAAGAAGGCCAGUUGAAUUGCUUCUUUAAUCAGUACAACAGUUUUCAGCUGUGCUAACAAUUGCAAAGGGGUUUUCUAAUGAUCAAUUAGCAUUUUAAAAUUAUCUUGGAUUAACUAACACAACGUGCCAUUGGAACACAGGAGUGAUGGUUGCUGAUAAUGGACCUCUGUAUGCCUAUGUUGAUAUUCAUUUUUUUUUUAAAGUCAGCCGUUUCCAGCUACAAUAGUCAUUUACGACGUUAACAAUGUCUACACUGUAGAGUGACCUCUCUUAACGAUGGAAAUGCAUGUCCUCAAUGAUGGAAGGCAGGCGUCUUUACUCAUUAUCGUCUCUCACUUUCGUCUCCCAUUAUCUAGUCACCAAGUCCUGCAGUUAGAACUAGCCCUGCCGUCACUAUUAAGACCCCGUAUGCAUAGGGCUGCGACGUUUACCGUGUAACUGACGGUUAGAGAUGAAGACCAUGAAAAUAACAUUUAAAAAAACAUUUUAAAUAGGCCUACAUUCAUUUUAGGAUUUAUUUUUAUUUACUUUAAUUUUAUGAAGAUAAACUUGACCUAAUAGCGGGAGUAAUUACUAACGAUUAUAAAGCAAUUGUUUUUCUAACUUUGUCUACUAAAAUGUUCUACAUCUCUUUCCAAUUGACCUUUGAUGCUUGACCAGCUAAUCCCUAGACGCGCAGUUCCUCACAGUAUUUGAAAAGCAUUUCCAACACUCGCCCCCUCGAUAAGCGACAUCGCUGAUAAAAAGAACGUAUGUCAAUGCCACGGCCAUCGAAGGACCGCAGCAGCAGGGUCUGUGACAUUAUCCGAGUAAACCCAUCGGACUUUGCUUGAAUGGUUUUGUGCAUCGAAAUAGGACCUGUAUUAUAACAAAUUAUAUGCAUAAAAGCCAACAGACAAAGACCAGGUUACAUUUUACCAACCCCUCAGCCUGAACAAUCAGCAUCCUCACAAGCUCCAUCCCUACCUGAUGUGUACUGGCCUUCCAUGCGCUAUCGACCUCCUAUGCACUCUGAAUCUCUCAUGAACUCUCAACCUACUGUGCAGUUUCACCAAGAACCACAAUUACUACCCAGAGCCGCAAGACUAUUCCAAAUAAUACCAGCCUCCUCCACCCAGAGAUUUAUCCUACCCCGUCCUAUGCAAGUCCUACACCAAGUCAGCCUCGUUACCCAGCGCACAAACCUUGAAACGUCCCCACCACUCAAACCCAGAACGUCCCGAACCCAGAGGGACCCCAGAUGAACCCCCCAGUGUGCUACCCUUCAGCAGUAUGGUAGACCCCAACCAGUCCCAGUAGUACCAAUUCACACCCCACAAGUGGCUCCGGAGAGACCCAGGUAUUCAGCCUGGAUAGAGGAACCUUCCUUCCCCAACUUCAUUCACGAAGAUCCUGAAGAGUUUGCAACAUUAAGAAUGGCCCUCACAAACCUACUGCCAGAGGAGGAAAUGGAGAAGUACAAGUACCACAUCCUCUUGGAUCACCUGCACUUGGUCUCUGCCUGCCAUAUAGGCCUGGCUUAUGCUAAUGAACCCCAGCCAUACUCCUUAGCACUGGACCAGAAGUAUGGCCAACCCCACCACCUAGUCCUGAGAGAGAUAGCAACCAUUCAGAAUCUGCCCAGGUGAUUCAAGCAAGAGCUUUCAGUAGCUUUGCCCUUCGAAUCCGCUCACUGGUGGGGAUGCUCCAGUCAUUCCAGCACAGCGAGGGAUCUGCUGAGCUGGCCUGCUCCUCCCAUGUUUAGCAACUCCUCAGUAAGUUAUCAGGAGAACAAGUUGCCAGUUAUGCCCAUCAUGAACACAGAACCAGGCCAGGUGUCCAGUACAAUCUGAAGGACUUCUCCUUGUGGCUGCAAGAUGAAGCAGAGUGUCAGGCAGUUGCUGUCCAGGUUGAUGAGCUCCACCAAGCACCAUCUUGGACACAAAGUAAAAGGUCGCCAGACAUUCUCCAAGCCCUCAUCUAAUAC